AUGCGACCUAUGUUUGGUGCAUAUGGAAAGGCCGGGAGUUCUCACUCGAUUGCAUUUGUGAGCAAGGCUGCCAAAGAAGCUGGUGUUGCAUCAGAGUACAAACUAGCAAAGAGGGUGGAAGCUGUUGGUGGUGUCCGCCGUUUAUCGAAGCUGGACAUGAAGCUCAACGACGCGCUUCCCAAAAUCGAGGUCGACCCCGAGACCUACACGGUUACUGCUGAUGGAGAGGUCCUGACUUGCCAGCCAGCAGCCACGGUGCCAUUAUCUCGGAAUUACUUUCUUUUCUAG
rnacentral:rRNA from 1 species